GUCCACGCCGUAAACGAUGGGUACUAGGUGUUGCGGGUAUUGACCCCUGCAGUGCCGCAGCUAACGCAUUAAGUACCCCGCCUGGGGAGUACGGCCGCAAGGUUAAAACUCAAAGGAAUUGACGGGGGCCCGCACAAGCGGUGGAGUAUGUGGUUUAAUUCGAUGCAACGCGAAGAACCUUACCCAGGCUUGACAUCCCGGGAACCCUCCCGAAACGGAGGGGUGCUCUUCGGAGAGCCCGGAGACAGGUGCUGCAUGGCUGUCGU
rnacentral:rRNA from 1 species